CAGGCCAAUCCUAGCGAAGCAGCUCCCUGGCCCGCACGCCGGCCCCGCCUCCCGAACUUCACGCCGAGGCCUAGGCCCCCUCCCGCAGUCCCAGGAUGCCCCUCGACCCUGCCUGCGGUUUCUACCCACGGAGCAUGCUGGAAGGCGCAGCAGAACGACUUUCCCAGCUCAUGGUUGCUUUCACAAGUCGGGGACUCUCACUUUUGUUUUUAAGAGGAGAAAGACGGCGGCCGGUGCGAAGCUUGCCUUGGGUUUCUCGGGAGUCUGGGAGGUCCGGCCCGAGAGCCGCAAACUCCCUCCCAGAAUAAUACAGCUCCAGAAGUAGCUCCUCCAGAGUGCCGCCUCACGACCCCGGGAGGACUCGGCCGGCGCUGGACAGCGUGUAUUUUUAGCCAGGACAGAGUGCCCCAGGGCAGCACAUGUGCCCCCACGCGCCGCUCGGCCCCACGUGCGCUUCCCCAGUCCCGGUGUCCUCAGUCAGACCUGGCCUCCGCUCUCUAGCCACAGCUGCAGCAAGUCUCCAAUCCCUGUCCCGGAGCGCCCUCUCCCGGCGGUUCCUGGGUGCCGCGGACACCCGCUUCCUGACCAUCCUUCAAUCGUCUGGCCCUCUCACCCCACCACUCCGACGAUUUCGAAGUUGAGGAUUCUGUUUCCCAGGACAUCGGGCACAAUGGACAGAAAAAGAGAAAAGAUGAGAAAACUAAAUCACUAGGCCAGGCGGUGAAGGAUACAGGUAUUGACCACCCUCUCUUAGACUGUUAAGGACCGAUUUAUCUGUUCCCAGCCCUGAGAUCAAGGGAUGCCAGAAGCAGGAGACCAAGGCUGGGGGAAGGCAAGCAAGAUAGCUUACAGUGUGACCCUGGCAACAAUCAAAUGGACGGUACAGAGGGAGCUCUGGUAUGGACUGGUUAACUAUAAGGUUAGCAGGUGAGAUGAGAGGAAGCGCAUGGAAAGAGUAAGCCCUGUUUGUAGUAAGAUUAAAAAUUGGUCAGGAGACCAGGGGUGGGUACGCUGCAGGGAAAAGUACUCUGGUCAACUCCAAAGCAUGAAACACUUAUGUGUACACACAAGUUACAUACUCUCUAUCCCCAUGGAUAAGAAUUAGCAGAUGCCACAGAGAGAUGCAGUUAAUUUUCCUGUUCAGUUGAAGGGUUUAUGCAUGUAACUUUUUGGUUAUUUAAAUAUUUUUAUGUGCUAUAGGUAACGAGGGCUCCCAGCAUUCUAGCUAAAAGGCUUCCUUCUUUUCCAUCACUCUUUCCAUUUGCUCCUGCUCAGCUGAUGUUGUCUCGUCUAUCUUGUUCACUGUUAAAAACAAAAACAAAAAAAAACUGCCUCCUUAACUAUUGCCCUAUCAAACUAUCUCCAUCAAUUUAACACCAAACUUACUGAAAGCAGUCUUUACUGUCUCUACUUCCUCAUCUCUCUUUCACACCCCACCAACCCAAAUCCUGUUUCUACCCCACCAUGCCACUGAAAUUGCUCCAGCAAUGAUCUGCAGUCCCUUCUUAAUUGAGACAUUCAGUGGAUGGUUUUUGGUUCUCUUUCAACUCCACCCAGAUAAUUUACCUAUAGCAGCUUCCACUGCCCAACCUUCCCCCAUGCCCUCAUACCUCUCCUUUUGCAGCUUGUCCCCCUCACCAGCCUCAGUCUUUCCUGGACUGUCUUCUGCGGCCACCUGCUAUCAGUAGGUCAUUUUAUUUCUUCCAUUUCUUUUGUUGACCACUUGCUAUACUAAUGGCUCUUUAACCUGUGUCUCCAGCCCUGAGUCCUUCCCAUCAGACUCUGAGCCAGGCACUCUCUAGCCAGUUGCUCCUCGGGCUUCUGAAACUUUACAAGCCAUGUCUCAGCUCCUCUUUUCCCUCCCUUCCACCCGCUCCUUGUGGAGUUAUGUCACCACAUACCCACAAAGGAUCAUUCUUUAGUGCCCAUUUCUCAUUUGUAAAACAGUUUCUUCUGGAUGCCCAGGCUUAGCACAGCAAAGGUGGAGAUUUGUAGUAUCAAACUGAGAUAAUAUUUGAAAGAUUUAAAAGGUAGUUUCACCUCUGUCCCCUAGAACUAAAUACUCCCAGGAACUUUUCUCUCCAACUUUCUCGUUGCAGCCCAAAUUAGUUUACUUCUGUCUUCUACUACCUACUCUCUUAUUUCUCAACUACUACAGAGAGAGUGUACCAUAGUAUCUACAGCCUCCGUCAUCUCAUCAGCUGAUGUUACCUGUGUCCUCUCCUCUUUCCAGGCUCUGCUAGCACUUUGCCAAAUCCUUGACCUUUUCUCUACCCUCUACCUCUUUGUCCUAUCUAUCAUAUCUAAUAUUAUUUACCGCCUCCUUCUUGAAACAUCCUUGACUUAUUUUUUAACCUAAUAGCAGUAAGAGGUAAUAUUUAUUGAGCACUUUCUAUGUGUCACACCCUGUGCUAAGCACUUUAGAUGCCUUCUUUAGUCAUUUAGUCCUUACAACAACACUGGGAAGUAGAUAGUAUGAUAAUUAUCCCCAUUUUUCAGAUAAGGAAACUGAGGUAUCAUAAAGUGAAGCAACCAGCCAACUCACACCUCUGUGGAACAAGCUAAACUGGGAUUCUAAUGCAGAUUAGCCUAACUCCAGAGUUUAACUUCUAAGUCACUAACCUCCUUCCACUGUGCUGGGACUACGCUUUUCCUUCUUCCUCAACAAUCUCUUGGCCUCACAUCUCCUUGAGUUUUUUCCAUAUGUCAGGCUUUUCCUUUCAAACUAAAUUUCUUUUUUUCUUUUUUUUUUAAA